rnacentral:rRNA from 1 species
UUGAUCGGAGAAAGGUGGGCACUCGACGUGCAACCACAGACAACCUUCGGAGCAUUGCUGCAAACAGUCCAUUUGAGACAUGCCAUUGCGACAGUGCCGAGAGAUGAGCUACUGGAGGACACGUUCUCUUGGCCGCAUGAUCCAUCAGGUUUAUACACGGCGAGAUCCACCUACAUGAGACUCAACCAGGGUGCGAUCGUAUCACCUACAGCGGUGGCGAUUUGGCGUAGCUGGGCGCCAUUAAAGUGCAAAAUCUUUACCUGGCUUGCGGUGCAACAUCGAUUGUGGACAUCGGACAGACGGGUACGCCAUGGCCUGCAAGAUAACCCAUUGCCAUGCUAUACUUGUUUGCAG